CCUACGGGUGGCAGCAGUGAGGAAUAUUGGUCAAUGGCCGGAAGUCUGAACCAGCCAUGCCGCGUGAAGGUCAGUGCCCUAUGGGCGUUAAACUUCUUUUGUGCGGGAGCAAUAAUGGUCACGUGUGGCCAGACGAGAGUACCGUACGAAUAAGCAUCGGCUAACUCCGUGCCAGCAGCCGCGGUAAUACGGGGGGUGCAAGCGUUAUCCGGAUUUAUUGGGUUUAAAGGGUGCGUAGGCUGGGGGGUAAGUCAGCGGUGAAAUGCCCCCGCUCAACGGGGUGAAGUGCCAUUGAUACUGCCUAGCUGGAAUGCGGAUGCCGUGGGAGGAAUGUGUGGUGUAGCGGUGAAAUGCAUAGAUAUCACACAGAACACCGAUUGCGAAGGCAUCUCACGAAUCCGCGAUUGACGCUGAUGCACGAAAGCGUGGGUAUCAAACAGGAUUAGAUACCCGUGUAGUC
rnacentral:rRNA from 1 species